rnacentral:antisense_RNA from 1 species
GGUUCUCACAACAAAUUGAAAGAGAAUAAAACAUUCUCUUGCUUCAUAAUCAAAGUACUGCUCACACUUCCAGCAACCCUUGGAAGGGGAAUCCUGGCUAUUGAUGUCCCUGGAAAGAGUGGUAGAAGAAAAGAAAUUGAAGACAUGGAAGAAAGAUGAAAACACUGGCUACUAAAUACCUGUGUGUGGUUACUGAGUGUGGUAUACUUGGACACCAAGCUCCCCCACUCAUCAGAUGUCACAAAGACUCCUUUUACUCUUGGAUAAUUUCAAAUCAAACUGACCUCCCCAGAUAUCGAGAAGCAAAAUAAUCAACAACAACAAAACCUGCCUUGUAAAUAUGAUUUACAUUGAUUAUGUGGGGAUGUUCUGAAGGGAGAAGAAAGGGGCUGUCACCAACUCAAAGCAACAUGAGAGCAAGAAUCAUGCUAAUUUUGCCAUCCGCCUCUCCUAUGUUCUUGGUGCCAAGUCUGUAGUUGAGGUUCAGUUACCUGAAUGAGUGACUAAAGUUUUAUAACUUGAACACUUUGAAUACAUAGAUCUAGCAUAAAUAAGCCUAUUAAUGGCAACUUUGACCUGUCAAGCAAUAACCAAAGGAUUUUUGUGCCUAC